CGACGUGAGGAACCUGCCUCAAAGAGGGGGACAACAGUUGGAAACGACUGCUAAUACCGCAUAAGCCCACAGCUCGGCAUCGAGCAGAGGGAAAAGGAGUGAUCCGCUUUGAGAUGGCCUCGCGUCCGAUUAGCUAGUUGGUGAGGUAAUGGCCCACCAAGGCGACGAUCGGUAGCCGACCUGAGAGGGUGAUCGGCCACAUUGGAACUGAGAGACGGUCCAG
rnacentral:rRNA from 1 species